rnacentral:lncRNA from 1 species
UGGUGGUGGGAACAGUGUCCCUGAGUUGCCUAACACUGUUGAUGUUAGUAGUAACAGUGGGGAGCAGCAGAAUCAUGUAAUGGAGGAACAUGAAAUGAAAGAUGAGGAAGAUGCUGAGGAAUUAGGGGAGAGUCUUUUCCCAGGCACCUAUGAGAUAUUGCAGUUAGAAAAGGAAGAAAUCCUUGCACCCCAUACUCAUUUCUGCACUAUAUGUGGGAAAGGAUUCAAAAGAGAUGCCAAUUUAAGGAUGCACAUGAGAGGGCAUGGUGAUGAGUACAAAACACCAGCAGCACUAGCUAAACCCAAUAAAGAAUCCAGUUCUGAACCAGCUCUUAU